UGGGGAAUUUUGGACAAUGGGCGAAAGCCUGAUCCAGCAAUGCCGCGUGUGUGAAGAAGGCCUUCGGGUUGUAAAGCACUUUUGUCCGGAAAGAAAUCCUUGGCUCUAAUACAGUCGGGGGAUGACGGUACCGGAAGAAUAAGCACCGGCUAACUACGUGCCAGCAGCCGCGGUAAUACGUAGGGUGCAAGCGUUAAUCGGAAUUACUGGGCGUAAAGCGUGCGCAGGCGGUUUGCUAAGACCGAUGUGAAAUCCCCGGGCUCAACCUGGGAACUGCAUUGGUGACUGGCAGGCUAGAGUAUGGCAGAGGGGGAUAGAAUUCCACGUGUAGCAGUGAAAUGCGUAGAGAUGUGGAGGAAUACCGAUGGCGAAGGCAGCCCCCUGGGCCAAAUACUGACGCUCAUGCACGAAAAGCGUGGGGAGCAAACAGGAUUAGAUACCCUGGUAGUCCCACGCCCUAAAACGAUGUCAACUAGUUGUUGGGGAUUCAUUUCCUUAGUAACGUAGCUAACGCGUGAAGUUGACCGCCUGGGGAGUACGGUCGCAAGAUUAAAACUCAAAGGAAUUGACGGGGUCAUAGCUGUUUCCU
rnacentral:rRNA from 1 species